rnacentral:misc_RNA from 1 species
GACGGCACCAACGCUUGGAGGGGGCCAGUGGGUGGGGUGCAGACGCCCUACUAACAAAAAAUUCGCUGCAGCUGCGGAACGUGCGCUCACACAAGGCAUGCUGGUGGUGGCACCCCGGGGAUAGCGACAACUCAAGCACAACCGCAACUGCCCCUCUUUGUUUCUGGUAUUGAUAUUUUCACUGAUCACAUACGCAAAGAUGCUCCGCGUAUCUGCCGUAUUACGCGAUAGGGUGGCGCCGCAGUCUCUGCGCACGUUGGCGCACGAUCUCCUUAAGGCCCAGCAUGCAUCAGGACGUACGCUCAUGUCUGUCAUGGGGCCAAAGUGCUACACGGCUCGAGGUACGCUUCUCAUGGUCUGUGCGAAUCUGCUGUGCUUCACCACGUACUGCCUCAUGGUGAACUGGAUUUACGAGGGUUACGUCGACUUGUGGUAUGGUGUGUAUGGCUUGGAAGACGAUGCUGAUGACAACGAUGAUUGAGAUUGUAGGAAGGGCUCCGGGAAUUGAGGUAAGGGCAAAACGAACGCUCCUGACACCUUCCACGGGGAGAGGAGGAGUGGGGACAUAUGCGGCUCUCUACAGCUCUCCAUCUUUUUUUUUUCACCCACUGCCGCUCUUAGCUCGGUUACCGCGUGCACUAUGCAGGGAUUAUCUUGUGCCUCUCUGUCUUUCCUAUUUUUCUCUUGGCACUGCAGCUGCCUGUACAGUGGUCUUCCCUUUUGGUCUCAAAUGUGUGUUAUGUUGCGCAUUUGCGUCUAUCUUCCCUUGCUUCCCAUAAGCCACUAUGCACAUGCAUCAGCGCUUCCGUGGUACGACUUUAAGAUUGCACUGCUUGUGCUUUUGUGUCUGUUGGAGGAAGGAGGUGAGGGAUACAUCUGCGUGUGUGCUCUGGCACGCAUUAGACG